GAUGAACGCUGGCGGCGUGCCUAAUACAUGCAAGUCGAGCGAACAGACGAGGAGCUUGCUCCUCUGACGUUAGCGGCGGACGGGUGAGUAACACGUGGAUAACCUACCUAUAAGACUGGGAUAACUUCGGGAAACCGGAGCUAAUACCGGAUAAUAUAUUGAACCGCAUGGUUCAAUAGUUAAAGACGGUUUUGCUGUCACUUAUAGAUGGAUCCGCGCCGCAUUAGCUAGUUGGUAAGGUAACGGCUUACCAAGGCAACGAUGCGUAGCCGACCUGAGAGGGUGAUCGGCCACACUGGAACUGAGACACGGUCCAGACUCCUACGGGAGGCAGCAGUAGGGAAUCUUCCGCAAUGGGCGAAAGCUUGACGGAGCAACGCCGCGUGAGUGAUGAAGGUCUUCGGAUCGUAAAACUCUGUUAUUAGGGAAGAACAAAUGUGUAAGUAACUAUGCACGUCUUGACGGUACCUAAUCAGAAAGCCACGGCUAACUACGUG
rnacentral:rRNA from 1 species